rnacentral:misc_RNA from 1 species
GUAACCUAAAUAAUGCUGCUUGUGAGUUAAAAUUGAAAGAAUACACACAGGCAGAAAAGCUGUGCACUAAGGUGUUAGAGAUAGAGAGUAGAAAUGUAAAGGCUCUUUAUAGGAGAGCUCAGGCAUAUAUCCAGUUGGCAGAUUUGGAUCUGGCUGAGUUUGAUAUUAAGAAAGCCCUUGAAAUUGACCCCGAGAAUAGGGAUGUCAAGCUGGAGUAUAAAAAGUUGAAGGAAAAGAUGAGGGAGUAUAUCAAGAAAGAAGCCAAGUUUUAUGGCAACAUGUUUAUUGCCAAGAUGAAUAAGCUGGGCCCUAUUGACUCUAUUAAAUCUGAAGCUGAGGCAGAGCCAAUGAGCAUAGACAGCAAGGCGUGAGAAGGGAGGAAAAUGGAUGAUUAACUGGAAUAAGAACGAGCAAAGUCCUAGUUUUUGGAAUUUUUUUUU